GAGAAUAUUGUUUAAGGUAAAACAAUUGCUUUUAAGCAACCCAUGCUUGGUUCAAAUCCACCUAUUCUCA
rnacentral:tRNA from 1 species